rnacentral:rRNA from 1 species
GAUGAACGCUGGCGGCGUGCCUAAUACAUGCAAGUCGAGCGAACAGACGAGGAGCUUGCUCCUCUGACGUUAGCGGCGGACGGGUGAGUAACACGUGGAUAACCUACCUAUAAGACUGGGAUAACUUCGGGAAACCGGAGCUAAUACCGGAUAAUAUAUUGAACCGCAUGGUUCAAUAGUGAAAGACGGUUUUGCUGUCACUUAUAGAUGGAUCCGCGCCGCAUUAGCUAGUUGGUAAGGUAACGGCUUACCAAGGCAACGAUGCGUAGCCGACCUGAGAGGGUGAUCGGCCACACUGGAACUGAGACACGGUCCAGACUCCGACGGGAGGCAGCAGUAGGGAAUCUUCCGCAAUGGGCGAAAGCCUGACGGAGCAACGCCGCGUGAGUGAUGAAGGUCUUCGGAUCGUAAAACUCUGUUAUAAGGGAAGAACAAAUGUGUAAGUAACUAUGCACGUCUUGACGGUACCUAAUCAGAAAGCCACGGCUAACUACGUG